AUCAAAAGGAACUCUUCUGUUGAACAGAAAGGACAAAUAGUCACACUCAACCAUAACAUUUUGAUUUUGAUUAAAGUCAACUCUUCAAUGCGAUCCUGAUUGUCGCGGUAAAUUGGAACAACGUUGGCUCGUCACCCACAAGAAUUAAAUUGAAAUUAAUAUAAAAUAUGCAACGUGAUAGCGCGAAAGGGUCAAACAUGGACACGAAAAUUAAAUAUAACCAAGUAGCCGCAUACAGCCAAACGACCGGUCACAACAACUCCAAAGUCACACAAAUAAGCUACGUGCAA
rnacentral:misc_RNA from 1 species